ensembl:snRNA U7 U7 small nuclear RNA
GAGUGUUACAUCUCUUAGAAUUUGUCUAGCAGGUUUUUCAGUGCUUACUGGAAGACCCCU